rnacentral:rRNA from 1 species
UAACACAUACAAGUCGGGGGAGAAGGUGCCCUUUGGGGCAGUGGAGACCGGCGGAUGGGUGAGUAACGCGUAGGUAAUCUGCCGUUAGGACUGGGAUAACCCACCGAAAGGUGAGCUAAUACCGGAUGAUGCAGCGGGGCCGCAUGGCCACAGUUGUUAAAUCCUUCGGGAGCCUAAAGAUGAACCUGCGUGCCAUUAGCUAGUUGGUAGGGUCAAAGCCUACCAAGGCGAUGAUGGCUAGGGGGUUUGAGAGGAUGAUCCCCCACACUGGGACUGAGACCCGGCCCAGACUCCUACGGGAGGCAGCAGUGAGGAAUCUUGGGCAAUGGGGGCAACCCUGACGCAGCCCCGCCGC